rnacentral:rRNA from 1 species
UAGAGUUUGAUCAUGGCUCAGAGUGAACGCUGGCGGCAGGCCUAACACAUGCAAGUCGAACGGCAGCACAGAGGAGCUUGCUCCUUGGGUGGCGAGUGGCGGACGGGUGAGGAAUACGUCGGAAUCUGCCUAUUUGUGGGGGAUAACGUAGGGAAACUUACGCUAAUACCGCAUACGACCUACGGGUGAAAGUGGGGGACCGCAAGGCCUCACGCAGAUAGAUGAGCCGACGUCGGAUUAGCUAGUUGGCGGGGUAAAGGCCCACCAAGGCGACGAUCCGUAGCUGGUCUGAGAGGAUGAUCAGCCACACUGGAACUGAGACACGGUCCAGACUCCUACGGGAGGCAGCAGUGGGGAAUAUUGGACAAUGGGCGCAAGCCUGAUCCAGCCAUGCCGCGUGUGUGAAGAAGGCCUUCGGGUUGUAAAGCACUUUUGUCCGGAAAGAAAAGCUUAGGGUUAAUAACCCUGAGUCAUGACGGUACCGGAAGAAUAAGCACCGGCUAACUUCGUGCCAGCAGCCGCGGUAAUACGAAGGGUGCAAGCGUUACUCGGAAUUACUGGGCGUAAAGCGUGCGUAGGUGGUUUGUUAAGUCUGAUGUGAAAGCCCUGGGCUCAACCUGGGAAUGGCAUUGGAAACUGGCUUACUAGAGUGCGGUAGAGGGUAGCGGAAUUCCCGGUGUAGCAGUGAAAUGCGUAGAUAUCGGGAGGAACAUCCGUGGCGAAGGCGGCUACCUGGACCAGCACGACACGAGGCACGAAAGCUG